rnacentral:misc_RNA from 1 species
CAGAGUUAUCCAACUCCCAAACCCAUGUGAACUUAUCUCUUUGUUGCCUCGGCGCAAGCUACCCGGGACGCUCGCGCCCCGGGCGGCCCGCCGGCGGACAAACCAAAACUCUUGUUAUCUUAGUUGAUUAUCUGAGUGUCUUAUUUUAUAAGUCA